rnacentral:lncRNA from 1 species
GGGAAUGAUAUCAUUGAAUAUUCUACUACUUAUACAUAUUUAGGUUUAGUUUUAAGUGAAUUUUUAGAUUAUAAUGUAACUGCUAAAGCUGUUGCAGCUUCUGCAAAUAGAGCACUUGGCCUUGUUAUAGCCAAGUGCAAAAUCUUAGGUGGUGUUACUCAUAAUGUCUUUUCAAAAUUAUAUGAGAGUUUGGUGCUUCCAAUUGUUGAAUAUGGUGCUGGUAUUUGGGUUGUAAAAAUUUUUCUUUUAUAAAUGCCAUCCAUAAUAGAGCUUGCAGAUUUUUUCUUGGAGUGGGUAAAUAUACUCCAAAUGCUGCAGUUGCAGGGGAUAUGGGGUGGAUACCUAUCUUUCAAAAACAAUGGCAAUGCUUAAUUCGACUAUGGUGCCGUUUGAACAAUAUGAGUUCUGAUCGUUUAAACAGAAAAAUUUUCAUAUGGGCAGACAUUAUGAGUAAAAAACAUAAGUGUAUAAAAAAUUGGAAUUUUUAUGUAAGGAAAACGUUUUCUGAGUAUAAUGCAGAACAUUUGUGUAUCAUUACAGAUUAUGUUGAUAGUACCUCAGUUGUCAAUACUGUUAUGUCUAAAAUGUUUAGUAAAUAUGUCGAACAGUGGCAAGGCAAUUUACAAUCAGAGAAAGCUUUAUCUGGUAAAGGUGGUAACAAACUUCGUACAUAUAAUCUAUUUAAGAACAGUUUUGAAACGGAAACUUAUUGUAAAAUUCCAAUGCCAUUUUCGCAAAGGAGUUCUUUUGCCAAAUUUCGAUGUGGUGUAGCACCACUAAGAAUAGAAACGGGGAGAUUUGAAAAAUUAAUUUUAAAAGAUCGAGUCUGUGAUAAUUGUAUGAAUAUUUUAGAAGAUGAAGCCCAUGUUAUUUUAUCGUGUCCUUUGUAUGAUGAUUUUAGAAAAAAAAUUAUUUGAUGAAGCAACACAUUUUAAUAGUGAUUUUAUGUCUUAUGAUGAUAAACAGAAAUUAGUGUUUUUAUUUACAGAUAAUAAUAUGAUUCGUAGCUGUGCCAAAGCCUGUAAUCUUAUUUUAAAUAGACGUAGAAAUGUUUUAUACUGUAAAUAAUGUUAAUGUCAAUAUGUUUUAUAAUAGAUGCAUUCUUUAUAUAAUUUUU